CCCUUAGAUGUUCUGGGCUGCACGCGCGCUACACUGAAGCGUUCAACGAGUAUUCACCUUGCCCGGGAGGGUUGGGUAAUCUUUUGAAAACGCUUCGUGAUGGGGAUAGAUUAUUGCAAUUAUUAAUCUUCAACGAGGAAUUCCUAGUAAGCGCGAGUCAUCAGCUCGUGCUGAUUACGUCCCUGCCCUUUGUACACACCGCCCGUCGCUCCUACCGAUUGAGUGGUCCGGUGAGGCUUCGGGAGAGCUAAAUGGAUUGUGUUUCACAAACUAUUUGGCUUGAACUUAGUCAAACCUUACUACUUAGAGGAAGGAGAAGUCGUAACA
rnacentral:rRNA from 1 species